rnacentral:sRNA from 1 species
UCGAUGCUAUCCUACACUCUACAUUCGC